rnacentral:misc_RNA from 1 species
GCCAACAGAUCUGCUUGAUAUUCUUCAAUAAGCCUAAGAUUUUCUAAAUCAAGCUCAGCAACAAGACCAGUUCUGGCAAAACCUUUUAAUUUGCGUAGAGCUUUCCCAAAUUCAUUCAGCUCUUUUACCACAGCUGUCAUUGCAAUUAAAUAGCUGUAUAACUCCGGCUUCAACCCAGAAUCCCGAAUGUCAAUAACUAGUUUGACUGCAUCCUUGUAAUUACCCUCCUCCAUCAUCUUCCAAGCAAGAUAACCAGCAGGACCUGCCUUAUGCCCAUCUACAUUACCAUCUGAGUAAGCAAUCUGCCUCCUCAACACCUCCUUCACGAAAGACACAGCUCCCUCCCUCUCACCUGCGUCCCAAUACAAAGAUAUAACCUUUUCAACCAUACUAAAACUCGGGUUCAAUCCAACACAGUCCAUAUCAACCAACAAGUCCACUACAUCCCCAGCUUCACUCUUAGACCCAAUCAACUUCUGCACCCAUCCACACAUUAUCGAAACCAUAAGCUCCAUCGUCUCCUUAUCGACUCUAUUCUCUUUCCUUAACCACUCAAACACCUCCAACGCACACCACGAAUCCCUCCCUUCCUGCGCAAAAUACACCAACACCAACUGCAAUUCUCUAUCAGAUAACCUCUCAUUCAUUUCCUCAAGUACAUCUGAUGGCUCUCUCGUCAUUCUUUCUAAUUCCUCAAUCGCCUCGAAAAAACAAUCACUCAUCUCAUUCUUCUCCUCACCAUCACUCGUCACAAAACUACCCAAUUCGACCGAACUAAACAACUUAAACCCAUUCCUCCUCGGACUAACAAAACUAGGGUUUCGACUACUACAACCCACCCCACCCAAAACCAAGCUACUCCUCCAUUUCAACCAAGUUUGAGGGAUACCCAAACGACAUCGUUUAGG